rnacentral:misc_RNA from 1 species
AGUCGUAACAAGGUCUCCGUUGGUGAACCAGCGGAGGGAUCAUUACCGAGUUAUUACUCCAAACCCAUUGUGAACCUUACCAAUUACUGCUGUUGCCUCGGCGGACGGCUGGGAGGGUUGCCCCUAGCGGGCGCCCGACCGACCCCCGCCGGCAGCACCAAACUCUUGAAUUUAUAGCGAAUCUACUUCUGAAUAACAAAUACAAACAAAUCAAAACUUUCAACAACGGAUCUCUUGGUUCUGGCAUCGAUGAAGAACGCAGCGAAAUGCGAUAAGUAAUGUGAAUUGCAGAAUUCAGUGAAUCAUCGAAUCUUUGAACGCACAUUGCGCCCGGUAGUAAUCUGCCGGGCAUGCCUGUCCGAGCGUCAUUUCACCCCUCGAACCACUAUUCGCGUAGCUGGAUCGGUGUUGGGGCACUACGGUGCAAUACCCGUAGGCCCCGAAAUGAAGUGGCGGUCCCGCCGCGGCGCCCCCAUGCGUAGUAACUUUCAGUCUCGCAUCGGGUCCCGGCGGAGGCCUGCCGUCAAGCCUAUUUUAUAAUAUCUUUACAGAUGGUUUGACCUCGGAUCAGGUAGGGUUACCCGCUGAACUUAAGCAUAUCAAUAAGCGGAGGAA